UACGUAGGGUGCAAGCGUUGUCCGGAAUUAUUGGGCGUAAAGAGCUCGUAGGCGGUUUGUCGCGUCUGCUGUGAAAACUCGGGGCUUAACCCCGGGCCUGCAGUGGGUACGGGCAGACUAGAGUGUGGUAGGGGAGACUGGAAUUCCUGGUGUAGCGGUGGAAUGCGCAGAUAUCAGGAGGAACACCGAUGGCGAAGGCGGGUCUCUGGGCCGAUACUGACGCUGAGGAGCGAAAGCGUGGGGAGCGAACAGG
rnacentral:rRNA from 1 species